GCCUACAUGAAGCUGGAGUUGCUAGUAAUCGCGAAUCAGCAUGUCGCGGUGAAUAACGUUCCCGGGGCCCUUGUACACACCGCCCGUCACACCAUGAGAGUUGGCAAUACCCAACGUACGUGAUCUAACCCGCAAGGGAGGAAGCGUCCUAAGGUAGGGUCAGCGAUUGGGGUGAAGUCGUAACAAGGUAGC
rnacentral:rRNA from 1 species